rnacentral:rRNA from 1 species
GGCCCAGACCCCUACGGGAGGCAGCAGUGGGGAAUAUUGCACAAUGGGGGAAGCCCUGAUGCAGCGACGCCGCGUGAGUGAAGAAGUAAUUCGUUAUGUAAAGCUCUAUCAGCAGGGAAGAAAAUGACGGUACCUGAGUAAGAAGCCCCGGCUAACUACGUGCCAGCAGCCGCGGUAAUACGUAGGGGGCAAGCGUUAUCCGGAUUUACUGGGUGUAAAGGGAGCGUAGACGGCGAUGCAAGCCAGAUGUGAAAGCCCGGGGCUCAACCCCGGGACUGCAUUUGGAACUGUGUGGCUGGAGUGUCGGAGAGGCAGGCGGAAUUCCUAGUGUAGCGGUGAAAUGCGUAGAUAUUAGGAGGAACACCAGUGGCGAAGGCGGCCUGCUGGACGAUGACUGACGUUGAGGCUCGAAAGCGUGGGGAGCAAACAGGAUUAGAUACCCCCGUA